UACGGAGGGGGCUAGCGUUGUUCGGAAUUACUGGGCGUAAAGCGCGCGUAGGCGGACCUGCAAGUCGGGGGUGAAAGCCCGAGGCUCAACCUCGGAACUGCCUUCGAUACUGCGGGUCUCGAGUCCGGGAGAGGUGAGUGGAAUUCCUAGUGUAGAGGUGAAAUUCGUAGAUAUUAGGAGGAACACCGGUGGCGAAGGCGGCAUCCUGGACCAAUUCUGACGCUGAGGAGCGAAAGCCAGGGGAGCAAACGGG
rnacentral:rRNA from 1 species